rnacentral:tRNA from 1 species
GCACCGGUAAUUUAGUGGUAGAAUGCCGGCUUGCCAAGCCGGUAGCCCGGGUUCAAAUCCCGGCCGGUGCA